UUUAAAUGAAGACCAGAACAAAAGAUUAAACGUUUAAAUUUAUAUCUAUASUUAAUUAAAUCCAAUUUAUSUUAAAUGUAAAAAGACAUUUAUAAAUAAVAAAGACGACAAGACCCUAUUGAACUUAACUUAAGUUAAACCGGGGCAGCUCAUUAAUUAUAAUCCUAAUGUAUAAAAUAAAAUAAAUUAUCCAAUAUUAUUGACAUGAUCAAGUUACCAUAGGGAUAACAGCGUAAUAAUUUUCUAAAGACCUUAUAAAAAUAAUAGUUUGCGACCUCGAUGUUGAAUUAAUUACCUAAUUAGAGCAAAAGCUAAUUAAGGAAGUCUGUUCGACUUUUAAAAAAUUACAUGAUUUGAGUUCAGACCGGUAUAAGCCAGGUCGGUUUCUAUCUUUUCUUUAAUUCUUGUAGUACGAAAGGGCCUAAGAAACUAAUUUAAUUAAUUAAUUGGCAGAAAAAUGCAUUAGAAUUAGAAUCUAAUAAAACUAAUUUAUACCAUUUAUAUUAUCAUACCUAAUCAUUAUUAUCAGA
rnacentral:rRNA from 1 species